UCCGUAGGUGAACCUGCGGAAGGAUCAUUAAAUAAUCAAUAAUCUUGGCUUGUCCAUUAUUAUCUAUUUACUGUGAACUGUAUUAUUAUUUGACGUUUGAGGGAUGUUCCAAUGUUAUAAGGAUAGACAUUGGAGAUGUUAACCGAGUCAUAAUCAGGUUUAGGCCUGGUAUCCUAUUAUUAUUUACCAAAUGAAUUCAGAAUUAAUAUUGUAACAUAGACCUAAAAAAUCUAUAAAACAACUUUUAACAACGGAUCUCUUGGUUCUCGCAUCGAUGAAGAACGUAGCAAAGUGCGAUAACUAGUGUGAAUUGCAUAUUCAGUGAAUCAUCGAGUCUUUGAACGCAACUUGCGCUCAUUGGUAUUCCAAUGAGCACGCCUGUUUCAGUAUCAAAACAAACCCUCUAUCCAACUUUUGUUGUAUAGGAUUAUUGGGGGCCUCUCGAUCUGUAUAGAUCUUGAAACCCUUGAAAUUUACUAAGGCCUGAACUUGUUUAAUGCCUGAACUUUUUUUUAAUAUGAAGGAAAGCUCUUGUAAUUGACUUUGAUGGGGCCUCCCAAAUAAAUCUUUUUUAAAUUUGGUCUGAAAUCAGGUGGGAUUACCCGCUGAACUUAAGCAUAUCAAUAAGCGGAGGAA
rnacentral:rRNA from 1 species